UACGUAGGGUGCAAGCGUUAAUCGGAAUUACUGGGCGUAAAGCGUGCGCAGGCGGUUAUUCAAGGCAGAGGGGAAAUCCCCGGGCUCAACCUGGGAACUGCCUUUGUGACUGCAUAGCUAGAGUACGGUAGAGGGGGAUGGAAUUCCGCGUGUAGCAGUGAAAUGCGUAGAUAUGCGGAGGACCACCGAUGGCGAAGGCAAUCCCAUGGACCUGUACUGACGCUCAUGCACGAAAGCGUGGGGAGCAAACAGG
rnacentral:rRNA from 1 species